GUUGGUUUACAUUGUAGGUUCUGUUACAUGACUGCCUAUUGGUUGAUCCUAAAGAGCUUGCAGACCCAUCUUUUAACUCCCAGCAACAGAGGGAAAGGUUCUCACAUCUUUUGCAUCUGGCUGUGCUACCUCAUUAGUAGUUUAUAGGUGAAUCGAAGCAAUGGACAUAGUCAAGGCAAUUACCAGCUCCUUUGAGAAAGGAUGUUGGGGCACAAAGUCUCCAAAGAGUUUGAAGCAAGUUCAUUCUGGAGCAGCUCAUUUGUGCAUGAAAUUCAUGGAGGACUGUUA